CGGCUAUGAGGUUUCCAGACAAGUGAAAGACGGGCCACCGCAGAGUCACGGUCCCGUCCUCAGUCCUGAUGUCUCUGGAGAUGGUGUCAAAGGAUCCGAAGCACAGCAGUCAGGGCAGAAGCAGCCUGAUGGGAUCCAGAGGCUUCCCGCGAGCGGGAUCAGCCCUGAGACAGGACAGCGCCCAGCACAAGUGAUCCUGCGGGAUUUGCAGGAAGCCCAUGGCAUGCCCAGUAGAGACACGUGGGCCGUUGCCUGAAUUGAUCUUCAAGUUGUUGACACAGAAACAACUCCUGUUCCAAAGGACUCUACGCGUAACGUUGAAGACCUGUUGCCAGAAGGUUUCUUAGUUUUGCC
ensembl:lncRNA